rnacentral:rRNA from 1 species
GACGAACGCUGGCGGCGUGCCUAAUACAUGCAAGUAGAACGCUGAAGGAGGAGCUUGCUCUUCUGGAUGAGUUGCGAACGGGUGAGUAACGCGUAGGUAACCUGCCUGGUAGCGGGGGAUAACUAUUGGAAACGAUAGCUAAUACCGCAUAAGAGUAGAUGUUGCAUGACAUUUACUUAAAAGGUGCAAUUGCAUCACUACCAGAUGGACCUGCGUUGUAUUAGCUAGUUGGUGGGGUAACGGCUUACCAAGGCGACGAUACAUAGCCGACCUGAGAGGGGGAUCGGCCACACUGGGAAUGAGACAAGGCCCAGACUCCUAAGGGAGGCAGCAGUAGGGAAUCUUCGGCAAUGGACGGAAGUCUGAACGAGCAACGCCGCGUGAGUGAAGAAGGGUUUCGGAUCGUAAAGCUCUGUUGUAAGAGAAGAACGAGGGUGAGAGUGGAAAGUUCACACUGUGACGGUAUCUUACCAGAAAGGGACGGCUAACUACGUG